AGUGAACGCUGGCGGUAGGCCUAACACAUGCAAGUCGAACGGCAGCACAGUAAGAGCUUGCUCUUACGGGUGGCGAGUGGCGGACGGGUGAGGAAUACAUCGGAAUCUACUUUUUCGUGGGGAUAACGUAGGGAAACUUACGCUAAUACCGCAUACGACCUACGGGUGAAAGCAGGGGAUCUUCGGACCUUGCGCGAUUGAAUGAGCCGAUGUCGGAUUAGCUAGUUGGCGGGGUAAAGGCCCACCAAGGCGACGAUCCGUAGCUGGUCUGAGAGGAUGAUCAGCCCAACUGGAACUGAGAACCGGUCCAGCCCCCUACGGGAGGCAGCAGUGGGGAAUAUUGGACAAUGGGCGCAAGCCUGAUCCAGCCAUACCGGGUGGGUGAAGAAGGCCUUCGGGUUGUAAAGCCCUUUUGUUGGGAAAAAAAAGCAGCAGGUUAAUACCCCGCUGUUCUGACGGUACCCAAAGAAUAAGCACCGGCUAACUUCGU
rnacentral:rRNA from 1 species